rnacentral:rRNA from 1 species
GGCAGCAGUGAGGAAUAUUGCACAAUGGGCGCAAGCCUGAUGCAGCCAUGCCGCGUGUAUGAAGAAGGCCUUCGGGUUGUAAAGUACUUUCAGCGGGGAGGAAGGCGUUGUGGUUAAUAACCGCAGCGAUUGACGUUACCCGCAGAAGAAGCACCGGCUAACUCCGUGCCAGCAGCCGCGGUAAUACGGAGGGUGCAAGCGUUAAUCGGAAUUACUGGGCGUAAAGCGCACGCAGGCGGUCUGUUAAGUC